ensembl:lncRNA
ACUGAUCAGAACUUCGGGGGUUCAAACCCCAGCACUGCCAGGCUCUGGGUUACUGAUCGGAAGGUCAGGGUUCAAGCCCCAGCACUGCCAGGCUCUGGGUUACUGAUCAAAAUGUCAGGGUUCAAGCCCCCGCACUGCCAGGCUCUGGGUUACUGAUCGGAAGGUCGGGGUCCAAGCCCCAGCACUCCCAGGCUCUGGGUUACUGAUCGGAAGGUCAGGGUUCAAGCCCCAGCACUGCCAGGCUCCAGGUUACUGAUCGGAAGGUCGGGGGUUCAAAAACAACAAACAACAACAAUCCUGGAUAGGCCACACCCACAAGAACUACAACCGAGAUCAGCGACUUGUCAGGUUCUAGUGAAUGUAGGGUAAAACGGAUAGCAACAUUUAUGGGAAUUUUUCAUAUUUAAGACGAUAUAAUCAUCCAC